AUCGCUCCUUGAAAUAAUAAUUAUAAGGAGUAAUGCCUGCCCAGUGACAAAAGUUUAACGGCCGCGGUAUCUUGACCGUGCAAAGGUAGCAUAAUCAUUUGUUCUUUAAUUGAGGACUAGAAUGAAAGGCAACACGAAAGCUUAACUGUCUCUUUCUUAAAAAAGAAAAUUAAUAUUUUUGUGAAGAAACAAAAAUAAAAACGUAAGACGAGAAGACCCUGUCGAGCUUAAGAAAAUUUUUAUAUUUAUAAAAUUAAGAUAAAAUAAAACUAUACUAUAAAAUAAAUAAUAAAAAUAUCUUUGGUUGGGGCAACCACGAAGAAAAAAAAACCUUCGUUCAAAACAAAAAAUUUACCAAUUAAAAAUAUAAAAAUAAAAAAGAUCCAGAAAAUACUGAUCAAAGAAAAAAGUUACCGCAGGGAUAACAGCGUUAUUCUCUUUAAGAGCUCUUAUUGACAAGAGAGUUUGCGACCUCGAUGUUGGACCGGGGCACCCAAGAGGUGUAGCAGCCUCUAAAGGUAGGUCUGUUCGACCUUUAAAGCCCUACGUGAU
rnacentral:rRNA from 1 species